UUAAGCGACUAAGCGUACACGGUGGAUGCCCUGGCAGUCAGAGGCGAUGAAGGACGUGCUAAUCUGCGAUAAGCGUCGGUAAGGUGAUAUGAACCGUUAUAACCGGCGAUUUCCGAAUGGGGAAACCCAGUGUGAUUCGUCACACUAUCAUUAACUGAAUCCAUAGGUUAAUGAGGCGAACCGGGGGAACUGAAACAUCUAAGUACCCCGAGGAAAAGAAAUCAACCGAGAUUCCCCCAGUAGCGGCGAGCGAACGGGGAGCAGCCCAGAGCCUGAAUCAGUGUGUGUGUUAGUGGAAGCGUCUGGAAAGGCGCGCGAUACAGGGUGACAGCCCCGUACACAAAAAUGCACAUGCUGUGAGCUCGAUGAGUAGGGCGGGACACGUGGUAUCCUGUCUGAAUAUGGGGGGACCAUCCUCCAAGGCUAAAUACUCCUGACUGACCGAUAGUGAACCAGUACCGUGAGGGAAAGGCGAAAAGAACCCCGGCGAGGGGAGUGAAAAAGAACCUGAAACCGUGUACGUACAAGCAGUGGGAGCACAGAGCAAUCUGUGUGACUGCGUACCUUUUGUAUAAUGGGUCAGCGACUUAUAUUCUGUAGCAAGGUUAACCGAAUAGGGGAGCCGAAGGGAAACCGAGUCUUAACUGGGCGUUAAGUUGCAGGGUAUAGACCCGAAACCCGGUGAUCUAGCCAUGGGCAGGUUGAAGGUUGGGUAACACUAACUGGAGGACCGAACCGACUAAUGUUGAAAAAUUAGCGGAUGACUUGUGGCUGGGGGUGAAAGGCCAAUCAAACCGGGAGAUAGCUGGUUCUCCCCGAAAGCUAUUUAGGUAGCGCCUCGUGAAUUCAUCUCCGGGGGUAGAGCACUGUUUCGGCAAGGGGGUCAUCCCGACUUACCAACCCGAUGCAAACUGCGAAUACCGGAGAAUGUUAUCACGGGAGACACACGGCGGGUGCUAACGUCCGUCGUGAAGAGGGAAACAACCCAGACCGCCAGCUAAGGUCCCAAAGUCAUGGUUAAGUGGGAAACGAUGUGGGAAGGCCCAGACAGCCAGGAUGUUGGCUUAGAAGCAGCCAUCAUUUAAAGAAAGCGUAAUAGCUCACUGGUCGAGUCGGCCUGCGCGGAAGAUGUAACGGGGCUAAACCAUGCACCGAAGCUGCGGCAGCGACGCUUAUGCGUUGUUGGGUAGGGGAGCGUUCUGUAAGCCUGCGAAGGUGUGCUGUGAGGCAUGCUGGAGGUAUCAGAAGUGCGAAUGCUGACAUAAGUAACGAUAAAGCGGGUGAAAAGCCCGCUCGCCGGAAGACCAAGGGUUCCUGUCCAACGUUAAUCGGGGCAGGGUGAGUCGACCCCUAAGGCGAGGCCGAAAGGCGUAGUCGAUGGGAAACAGGUUAAUAUUCCUGUACUUGGUGUUACUGCGAAGGGGGGACGGAGAAGGCUAUGUUGGCCGGGCGACGGUUGUCCCGGUUUAAGCGUGUAGGCUGGUUUUCCAGGCAAAUCCGGAAAACUAAGGCUGAGGCGUGAUGACGAGGCACUACGGUGCUGAAGCAACAAAUGCCCUGCUUCCAGGAAAAGCCUCUAAGCAUCAGGUAACAUCAAAUCGUACCCCAAACCGACACAGGUGGUCAGGUAGAGAAUACCAAGGCGCUUGAGAGAACUCGGGUGAAGGAACUAGGCAAAAUGGUGCCGUAACUUCGGGAGAAGGCACGCUGAUAUGUAGGUGAAGCGACUUGCUGAUGGAGCUGAAAUCAGUCGAAGAUACCAGCUGGCUGCAACUGUUUAUUAAAAACACAGCACUGUGCAAACACGAAAGUGGACGUAUACGGUGUGACGCCUGCCCGGUGCCGGAAGGUUAAUUGAUGGGGUCAGCGCAAGCGAAGCUCUUGAUCGAAGCCCCGGUAAACGGCGGCCGUAACUAUAACGGUCCUAAGGUAGCGAAAUUCCUUGUCGGGUAAGUUCCGACCUGCACGAAUGGCGUAAUGAUGGCCAGGCUGUCUCCACCCGAGACUCAGUGAAAUUGAACUCGCUGUGAAGAUGCAGUGUACCCGCGGCAAGACGGAAAGACCCCGUGAACCUUUACUAUAGCUUGACACUGAACAUUGAGCCUUGAUGUGUAGGAUAGGUGGGAGGCUUUGAAGUGUGGACGCCAGUCUGCAUGGAGCCGACCUUGAAAUACCACCCUUUAAUGUUUGAUGUUCUAACGUGGACCCGUAAUCCGGGUUGCGGACAGUGUCUGGUGGGUAGUUUGACUGGGGCGGUCUCCUCCUAAAGAGUAACGGAGGAGCACGAAGGUUGGCUAAUCCUGGUCGGACAUCAGGAGGUUAGUGCAAUGGCAUAAGCCAGCUUGACUGCGAGCGUGACGGCGCGAGCAGGUGCGAAAGCAGGUCAUAGUGAUCCGGUGGUUCUGAAUGGAAGGGCCAUCGCUCAACGGAUAAAAGGUACUCCGGGGAUAACAGGCUGAUACCGCCCAAGAGUUCAUAUCGACGGCGGUGUUUGGCACCUCGAUGUCGGCUCAUCACAUCCUGGGGCUGAAGUAGGUCCCAAGGGUAUGGCUGUUCGCCAUUUAAAGUGGUACGCGAGCUGGGUUUAGAACGUCGUGAGACAGUUCGGUCCCUAUCUGCCGUGGGCGCUGGAGAACUGAGGGGGGCUGCUCCUAGUACGAGAGGACCGGAGUGGACGCAUCACUGGUGUUCGGGUUGUCAUGCCAAUGGCACUGCCCGGUAGCUAAAUGCGGAAGAGAUAAGUGCUGAAAGCAUCUAAGCACGAAACUUGCCCCGAGAUGAGUUCUCCCUGACUCCUUGAGAGUCCUGAAGGAACGUUGAAGACGACGACGUUGAUAGGCCGGGUGUGUAAGCGCAGCGAUGCGUUGAGCUAACCGGUACUAAUGAACCGUGAGGCUUAACCUU
rnacentral:rRNA from 1 species